UUGACAGUCCUGGAGACUAAAGACCUCUCUGCUUUUCCACAGAACAGGAACAGCAAAUGGCAGGGGCUGAGCAAGCUUCCCCACACUAUGCUGUCAGUGUGCCUAAAUCCGGCUUGGAGCAACACCACAGUGGCUGGCCACAGUCAACCCUACACCUCAUGUUCUGAAUCCU
rnacentral:sRNA from 1 species